CAUGUUGACUAAUUUUAGGGGUGGCGCCCUGCAUGGGUCUCGUUGUCCCGUUUGCACUAGCCCCAUUGGACGUAUACCCUGUAGUCUUUGUAUAAUAAUAUGUAACCUUUUAUAUGUAUGUCCAAUAAAGCUGUUAAAAAAAAAAAAAAAAAUUCGAGGCACAUUUCAUAGAUUGGGAUAUUCGGUACGCGUUUUUCUCCUUACCGUAUCGUAUGAUCAAAGUGUUUCAUAGCAAAGAUGACGACAUUCUUGAACUCAAGAAGAUUGCUCAUUGUGACGCCGAAUAGAGAAUGUGUCCAUGUUGUGUCGAGGGGAUCGUAUUCGAAAUGGACCAAUAUAACAUCAGGGGUACCACAGGGAACAAUUUUAGGACCUAUUCUGUUUUUAAUUUAUAUCAAUGAUCUCCCGAAUGAAAUUGUAAGUCACGUCAAGCUGUUUGCAGAUGAUACAAAAGUGUACCGAAAGCUAUCGGACCCAGAGAACGACGGGGAAAUACUUCAGUAAGACUUGAACCGUAUGAGCGAGUGGACAAAUUUGUGGCAAUUGAGCUUCAAUCUUGAUAAGUGCGAAGUUAUGCGGAU